rnacentral:rRNA from 1 species
AUUGAACGCUGGCGGCAGGCUUAACACAUGCAAGUCGAGCGGAGUGAUGGUGCUUGCACUAUCACUUAGCGGCGGACGGGUGAGUAAUGCUUAGGAAUCUGCCUAUUAGUGGGGGACAACAUCUCGAAAGGGAUGCUAAUACCGCAUACGUCCUACGGGAGAAAGCAGGGGAUCACUUGUGACCUUGCGCUAAUAGAUGAGCCUAAGUCGGAUUAGCUAGUUGGUGGGGUAAAGGCCUACCAAGGCGACGAUCUGUAGCGGGUCUGAGAGGAUGAUCCGCCACACUGGGACUGAGACACGGCCCAGACUCCUACGGGAGGCAGCAGUGGGGAAUAUUGGACAAUGGGGGGAACCCUGAUCCAGCCAUGCCGCGUGUGUGAAGAAGGCCUUAUGGUUGUAAAGCACUUUAAGCGAGGAGGAGGCUCUUUUGGUUAAUACCCAGAAUGAGUGGACGUUACUCGCAGAAUAAGCACCGGCUAACUCUGUGCCAGCCGCCGCGGUAACAC